rnacentral:ncRNA from 1 species
CGUUUUGAGAUAUUUUGGGUAUCCGCGGAUGCUGUGACUGUAUCGUCAGCGUAAAGAUCUAUUUGAGAGCUUACAUGCAGCGGCAAGUCAUUAAUGAAUAGAAUAUAGAAUAAUGGACCGGAAGCGAACCGCAAGGUUCACGUUCUGGAUUUAAGGUCUCUCUUUUGCAGACCGAUCCGUGUCGAAGACACUGUCAGGUUGGGAGUUUGGCUGGGGCGGCACAUCUGUCAAACGAUAACGCAGGUGUCCUAAGGUGAGCUCAAUGAGAACAGAAAUCUCAUGUAGAACAAAAGGGCAUCACCUGCCUAUAUCGCAUAGCCUGGAUUUCAAAAUAGUACACCUGUCAUGUACAGUAUCUUUCAUUGAAAAUUGUUGUGCAAAAUUGAUAUUUUAACUAUAAAAGGGGUAACAUCUAAACUUUGAAACUUUUACAAAUAUGACAGA